UCCUACGGGAAGGCAGCAGUAGGGAAUCUUCCGCAAUGGACGAAAGUCUGACGGAGCAACGCCGCGUGAGUGAUGAAGGCUUUCGGGUCGUAAAACUCUGUUGUUAGGGAAGAACAAGUGCUAGUUGAAUAAGCUGGCACCUUGACGGUACCUAACCAGAAAGCCACGGCUAACUACGUGCCAGCAGCCGCGGUAAUACGUAGGUGGCAAGCGUUAUCCGGAAUUAUUGGGCGUAAAGCGCGCGCAGGUGGUUUCUUAAGUCUGAUGUGAAAGCCCACGGCUCAACCGUGGAGGGUCAUUGGAAACUGGGAGACUUGAGUGCAGAAGAGGAAAGUGGAAUUCCAUGUGUAGCGGUGAAAUGCGUAGAGAUAUGGAGGAACACCAGUGGCGAAGGCGACUUUCUGGUCUGUAACUGACACUGAGGCGCGAAAGCGUGGGGAGCAAACAGGAUUAGAUACCCUGGUAGUCCACGCCGUAAACGAUGAGUGCUAAGUGUUAGAGGGUUUCCGCCCUUUAGUGCUGAAGUUAACGCAUUAAGCACUCCGCCUGGGGAGUACGGCCGCAAGGCUGAAACUCAAAGGAAUUGACGGGGGCCCGCACAAGCGGUGGAGCAUGUGGUUUAAUUCGA
rnacentral:rRNA from 2 species